rnacentral:rRNA from 1 species
AGCGAACGCUGGCGGCAGGCUUAACACAUGCAAGUCGAGCGCCUGUAGCAAUACAGGAGCGGCAGACGGGAGAGUAACACGUGGGAACGUACCCUUUGGUUCGGAACAACCCAGGGAAACUUGGACUAAUACCGGAUAAGCCCUAACGGGAAAGAUUUAUCGCCAAAGGAUCGGCCCGCGUCUGAUUAGCUAGUUGGUGAGGUAAUGGCCUACCAAGGCAACGAUCAGUAUCCGGCCUGAGAGGCGGACGGACACACUGGGACUGAGACACGGCCCAGACUCCUACGGGAGGCAGCAGUGGGGAAGUUGUUCGCAAUGGGCGGCAAGCCUGACGACGGCAACGCCGCGUGGAGGAUGAAGACCUC